rnacentral:rRNA from 1 species
AGUGAACGCUGGCGGUAGGCCUAACACAUGCAAGUCGAACGGCAGCACAGUAAGAGCUUGCUCUUACGGGUGGCGAGUGGCGGACGGGUGAGGAAUACAUCGGAAUCUACUUUUUCGUGGGGGAUAACGUAGGGAAACUUACGCUAAUACCGCAUACGACCUACGGGUGAAAGCAGGGGAUCUUCUGACCUUGCGCGAUUGAAUGAGCCGAUGUCGGAUUAGCUAGUUGGCGGGGUAAAGGCCCACCAAGGCGACGAUCCGUAGCUGGUCUGAGAGGAUGACCAGCCACACUGGGACUGAGACACGGUCCAGACUCCUACGGGAGGCAGCAGUGGGGAAUAUUGGACAAUGGGCGCAAGCCUGAUCCAGCAAUACCGCGUGGGUGAAGAAGGCCUUCGGGUUGUAAAGCCCUUUUGUUGGGAAAGAAAAGCAGCAGGUUAAUACCCCGCUGUUAUGACGGUACCCAAAGAAUAAGCACCGGCUAACUUCGUG